rnacentral:rRNA from 1 species
UACGGGGGGGGCAAGCGUUGUUCGGAAUUACUGGGCGUAAAGGGCUCGUAGGUGGCCAACUAAGUCAGACGUGAAAUCCCUCGGCUUAACCGGGGAACUGCGUCUGAUACUGGAUGGCUUGAGUUCGGGAGAGGGAUGCGGAAUUCCAGGUGUAGCGGUGAAAUGCGUAGAGAUCGGCAGGAACACCCAGGGGGAAACCAGUCGACUGGGCAUCUACUGACGCUGAGGUGCGAGAGCGUGGGGAGCGAACCGG